CAGGCAAGAAGGAAUAUGUGAAGGCACUGCCGGGGCACCUGAAGCCUUUCGAGACGCUGCUGUCCCAGAACCAGGGGGGCCAGGCCUUCAUCGUGGGCGACCAGAUCUCCUUCGCGGACUACAACCUGCUGGACUUGCUGCUGAUCCACCAGGUCCUGGCCCCCGGCUGCCUGGACUCCUUCCCCCUGCUCUCGGCCUACGUGGCGCGCCUCAGCGCCCGGCCCAAGCUCAAGGCCUUCCUGGCCUCCCCUGAGCACGUGAACCGUCCCAUCAACGGCAACGGGAAGCAGUGAGAGUUUGCAGCACCCUCGGCGGGAGGUGGGGGCUGCCUGCCUCCCUUUCCUGGGGACCAAUAAAAUUUCCAAGCGAGAA